rnacentral:misc_RNA from 1 species
GAUGACGAACGUAGCGAAAUGCGAUAAGUAAUGUGAAUUGCAGAAUUCCGUGAAUCAUCGAAUCUUUGAACGCACAUUGCGCCCCCUGGUAUUCCGGGGGGCAUGCCUGUCCGAGCGUCAUUGCAACCUUCAAGCGCGGCUUGUGUGUUGGGUCUCGUCCCCCGUGGACGGGCCCGAAAGGCAGUGGCGGCGUCCCGACAUGGUGCCCGAGCGUAUGGGAAUCCUCUUCCGCUCGAAUCGGCCCAUGCGGCGCUGGUCGUAACCAAAUUUUUUACCGGUUGACCUCGGAUCAGGUAGGGAUACCCGCUGAACUUAAGCAUAUCAAUAAGCGGAGGA